rnacentral:tRNA from 1 species
AGCAUAGUAGUUUAAUGGUAAAACCAUAGAGUGCCAUUGAUUUGUGUGCCUAUUAUGCGGGUUCGAAUCCCGCCUAUGCUC